rnacentral:lncRNA from 1 species
AAAAAACACCAUUUUGUGAUUAGAAACUAAACAAAAUGAUAGAAUUAUUAAAUACUUCAGGAAAAUAUAGUUUUCAGACACUGCUUUGAGAAUAUCAAAAGAAAAGAUAGGGUCACCGUACUAAAUACAAAAUAGGAAAAUUCCAUGAAUCCUUCAGAAAAUGCACUGUUUUAGAGAUACCUCCCCCUAAAAUGCCAAUUAAAAAAACCUAAAAACAAGC